AAGAACACAGGUAAACAAGAAGAAGCCCUUAAGGAGGAAACACACGUAUCUCUUAAAGAAAUACAGGAAAACACAAUCAAACAGGUGAAGGAAUUGAACAAAACCAUCCAGGAUCUAAAAAUGAAAAUAGAAACAUUAAAGAAAAAAACAAAGGGAGAUGACCCUGAAGAUGGAAGACUUUAGAAAAGAGAUCAGAAGUCACAAAUGCUAACAGAAUACAAGAGACAGAGGAGAGACUCUCAGGCAUAGAAGAUACCAUAGAAGACAUUGGCACAACAGUUUAAGAAAACACAAAAGACAAAAUCUCCUAACUCAAAACAUUCAAGAAAUCCAGGACACAAUGAAAAGCCUGAACCUAAGAAUAAUAGAUAAUAUAAUAUAAGAGAGAGAAGAUUCCCAACUCAAAGGACCAGCAAACAUCUUCAACAACAUUAUAGAGUACUUCCCUAACCUAAAGAAAGAGAUGGCCAUAAAAAAA
rnacentral:lncRNA from 1 species